UACGAAGGGGGCUAGUGUUGCUCGGAAUCACUGGGCGUAAAGGGUGCGUAGGCGGGUCUUUAAGUCAGGGGUGAAAUCCUGGAGCUCAACUCCAGAACUGCCUUUGAUACUGAAGAUCUUGAGUUCGGGAGAGGUGAGUGGAACUGCGAGUGUAGUGGUGAAAUUCGUAGAUAUUCGCAAGAACACCAGUGGCGAAGGCGGCUCACUGGCCCGAUACUGACGCUGAGGCACGAAAGCGUGGGGAGCAAACAGG
rnacentral:rRNA from 1 species